rnacentral:rRNA from 1 species
AACGAACGCUGGCGGCACGCCUAACACAUGCAAGUCGAACGCCUGGUAGCAAUACGGGGAGUGGCGGACGGGUGAGUAACGCGUGGGAACCUGCCCAGGGGUGCGGGACAACUUCGGGAAACCGGAGCUAAUACCGCAUGAUGCCGUGGCAACACGGCCAAAGAUUUAUCGCCUUUGGAGGGGCCCGCGUCGGAUUAGGUAGUUGGUGGGGUAACGGCCUACCAAGCCUUCGAUCCGUAGCUGGUCUGAGAGGAUGGCCAGCCACACUGGGACUGAGACACGGCCCAGACUCCUACGGGAGGCAGCAGUGGGGAAUCUUGGACAAUGGGGGCAACCCUGAUCCAGCGAUGCCGCGUGGGUGAUGAAGGCCUUCGGGUUGUAAAGCCCUUUCGGCGGGGACGAUAGUGACGGUACCCGCAGAAGAAGCCUCGGCUAACUCCGUGCCAGCAGCAGCCGCGGUAA